rnacentral:tRNA from 1 species
GGAUAUAGCUCAGUUGAUAGAGUGCUUGCCUUGCAUGCACAAGGUCCUGGUUUCGAUCCCCAGCACCA